CCUACGGGGGGCAGCAGUGAGGAAUAUUGGUCAAUGGACGCAAGUCUGAACCAGCCAUGCCGCGUGCAGGAAGACGGCCCUAUGAGUUGUAAACUGCUUUUGUACGAGGGUAAACGCAGAUACGCGUAUCUGUCUGAAAGUAACGUACGAAUAAGGAUCGGCUAACUCCGUGCCAGCAGCCGCGGUAAUACGGAGGAUUCAAGCGUUAUCCGGAUUUCUUGGGUUUAAAGGGUGCUUAGGCGGUCGGAUAAGUUAGAGGUGAAAUCCCGAGGCUCAACUUCGGAAUUGCCUCUGAUACUGUGCGGCUAGAGAGUAGUUGAGGUAGGCGGAAUGUGUGGUGUAGCGGUGAAAUGCUUAGAGAUCAUGCAGAACACCGAUUGCGAAGGCAGCUUACCAAGCUACUUCUGACGUUGAGGCACGAAAGCGAGGGGAGCAAACAGGAGUAGAUACCCUAGUAGUC
rnacentral:rRNA from 1 species